rnacentral:rRNA from 1 species
UACGUAGGGGGCAAGCGUUGUCCGGAUUUAUUGGGCGUAAAGAGCGUGUAGGCGGUCUGGUAGGUCCGUUGUGAAAACUCGAGGCUCAACCUCGAGACGCCGAUGGAAACCCUCAGACUAGAGUACGGAAGAGGCGAGUGGAAUUCCCGGUGUAGCGGUGAAAUGCGCAGAUAUCGGGAGGAACACCAAUUGCGAAGGCAGCUCGCUGGGACGUCACUGACGCUGAGACGCGAAAGCGUGGGGAGCAAACAGG